GGGGUGAAUAGAAAAGGCAAGAAAAGUCCGGAUUGAGAUAAGGAUAAGUUGACAGGCUAAGGGCGGGGCUUUUCGUGUCUUUUUGUCUGCGCAAGAAGCGCCCUGGCGACUUUUGGCUGGUCUUCCAAAACGUCUCUCUCUCUUGCCUCCGCUUCUCUUCCACUUCGCUCCAAUCCCCUCCCUCCUCUUACUUCUGGUCGACCUGCCUGUUCUUGUCCCCGAUUC
ensembl:ncRNA F09B12.8 ncRNA